rnacentral:rRNA from 1 species
AGUGAACGCUGGCGGUAGGCCUAACACAUGCAAGUCGAACGGCAGCACAGUAAGAGCUUGCUCUUACGGGUGGCGAGUGGCGGACGGGUGAGGAAUACAUCGGAAUCUACUUUUUCGUGGGGGAUAACGUAGGGAAACUUACGCUAAUACCGCAUACGACCUACGGGUGAAAGCAGGGGAUCUUCGGCCCUUGCGCGAUGGAAUGAGCCGAUGUCGGAUUAGCUAGUUGGCGGGGUAAAGGCCCACCAAGGCGACGAUCCGUAGCUGGUCUGAGAGGAUGAUCAGCCACACUGGAACUGAGACACGGUCCAGACUCCUACGGGAGGCAGCAGUGGGGAAUAUUGGACAAUGGGCGCAAGCCUGAUCCAGCCAUACCGCGUGGGUGAAGAAGGCCUUCGGGUUGUAAAGCCCUUUUGUUGGGAAAGAAAAGCAGCAGGUUAAUACCCCGCUGUUCUGACGGUACCCAAAGAAUAAGCACCGGCUAACUUCGUG